ACCAUUCCUAGAUCUAGCCUUCAAUCACCAAGAAUCAAGAGAAUGAUCAAGCUAGAGUUUCCAAACCAAAGUGGAUCAAAGAGUUCACCAUUUUCUUAGAUAUUGAGGGCACGAGCGACAUAAGGAGGUGAGGUGAAACAAGAGGUUAAUAAAGAAAGAGUAAGCAGGAGUCCAGGUUGAGCAGCUGAUGGAAUGGAAUGGUGUUGAGCGGGUGUUCCUUUGUCAUUUCAAGAAAUGUAACCUUGAGUAUACAUCUUCAUAUGUAUAUCUCACACGUUUUCCACUGCAAAACACUUUGAUUAUGAUAACUCUAUGUUAUGAAGUUGAGACACGUGUUAUUGGGUAACCUACCUCAAUCAUUCUCCUUUAUGUGUAUGUUUUAUAAGUAUCCAAAUGAUCAUAUAUGAUCCUAGCAUUUUAUCUAUGAAUGACAUUUUCAUAUACUUUAAUGUUAAGUAAUUGUCCAUUUC